CCUGAGAAACCCAAAAGAUCGAUCGGGGAGAUUCAUCGUCAGCGAUUCUGGUACGUGGGCGGUUCGCGAUGCCGCGGGACCUCGGUUCCCUGACACGCGUCCGCUCAUGUUUAUAAUGCCGGUUGUCGCCGGCGUGCACUUCUCCCCUAGUAGAACGUCGCGACCCGUUGGGUGUCGGUCUACGGCCCGGAUGAUAGACUGCCGCGCGUCGCUAUUAGCGUUGACGCGCGGCAGAUCACCGGUCGCCCGACCGGCUGCCCGGCGGUACACGCACGGUAUCGAGCCGCAAUUAUUCGAACUGCGUCCGGCCCGCCGCAAGCGAGGUCAGUGUCUCCCGGAUGUGCGGACCUAGCGCCGUCACCGGGCCUGGCCGGCUGUUGGUCGGCGGUGACCUGGGACAGGCUCAAUUCAAUUACGAUACCGGUCGGCGACGCUACUGCUUUGGGUACUUUCAGGACCCGUCUUGAAACACGGACCAAGGAGUCUAACAUGUGCGCGAGUCAUUGGGAGCCAUGAAGCCUAAAGGCGCAAUGAAAGUGAAGGUCGGCCCCGCGCCGACCGAGGGAGGAUGGGCCGCGUCACGAUGCGGUCCCGCACUCCCGGGGCGUCUCGUUCUCAUCGCGAGAAGAGGCGCACCCAGAGCGUACACGUUGGGACCCGAAGGG
rnacentral:rRNA from 1 species